rnacentral:rRNA from 1 species
UACGUAGGUGGCAAGCGUUGUCCGGAUUUACUGGGCGUAAAGAGCGCGCAGGCGGUCGAUUUAGUCGCGUGUGAAAGCCCCCGGCUCAACUGGGGAGGGUCACGCGAUACUGAUCGACUCGAAGGCAGGAGAGGGUAGUGGAAUUCCAGGUGUAGCGGUGAAAUGCGUAGAUAUCUGGAGGAAUACCGGUGGCGAAGGCGGCAUCCUGGGACCGGCAUUGACGCUGAGGAGCGAAAGCCAGGGGAGCAAAGCGGGAUUAAGAAACCCCGAGUAGUCCGACG